UACAGAGGUCUCGAGCGUUAGGCGGAAUCACUGGGCUUAAAGCGUGUGUAGGCGGAUUGCUAAGUACCUUGUGAAAUCCCACGGCUUAACCGUGGAACUGCUUGGUAUACUGGCUGUCUUGAGCCACUUAGGGGCAACCGGAACAAACGGUGGAGCGGUGAAAUGCGCAGAUAUUAGGAAGAACACCGGUGGCGAAGGCGGCUCUCUGGAACGGUACUGACGCUGAGACGCGAAAGCGUGGGGAGCAAACAGG
rnacentral:rRNA from 1 species